GACGAACGCUGGCGGCGUGCUUAACACAUGCAAGUCGAACGGAAAGGCCCCUUUGGGGGUACUCGAGUGGCGAACGGGUGAGUAACACGUGAGUAACCUGCCCUUGACUUCGGGAUAACUUCAGGAAACUGGGGCUAAUACCGGAUAGGAAUCCUUGCUGCAUGGUGGGGGUUGGAAAGCUUCGGCGGUUUUGGAUGGACUCGCGGCUUAUCAGCUUGUUGGUGGGGUAGUGGCUUACCAAGGCUUUGACGGGUAGCCGGCCUGAGAGGGCGACCGGCCACAUUGGGACUGGGAUACGGCCCAGACUCCUACGGGUGGCAGCAGUGGGGAAUAUUGCACAAUGGGCGGGAGCCUGAUGCAGCAACGCCGCGUGCGGGAUGACGGCCUUCGGGUUGUAAACCGCUUUCAGCAGGGGCGAAGCUUGUGGUGACGGUACCUGCAGAAGAAGCACCGGCUAACUACGUG
rnacentral:rRNA from 1 species